rnacentral:misc_RNA from 1 species
GAUGAAGAACGUAUCAAAUGCGAUAAGUAGUGUGAAUUGCAGAAUUCAGUGAAUCAUCGAAUCUUUGAACGCACAUUGCGCCCUUUGGUAUUCCUUAGGGCAUGCCUGUUCGAGCGUCAUUUAAACCUUCAAGCUCAGCUUGGUGUUGGGUGACUGUCCGCUUCACCGCGGACUCGCCUCAAAAUUAUUGGCGGCCGGUACAUUGGCUUCGAGCGCAGCAGAAACGCGAACUCGGGCCCGUCGUAUUGGCUCCCAGAAGCUAUCUUCACAAUUUUGACCUCGGAUCAGGUAGGGAUACCCGCUGAACUUAAGCAUAUCAAUAAGCGGAGGA